rnacentral:rRNA from 1 species
UACCAGCACCCCGAGUGGUCGGGACGUUUAUUGGGCCUAAAGCAUCCGUAGCCGGUUCUGCAAGUCUUCCGUUAAAUCCACCUGCUUAACAGAUGGGCCGCGGAAGAUACUAUAGAGCUAGGAGGCGGGAGAGGCAAGCGGUACUCGAUGGGUAGGGGUAAAAUCCGUUGAUCCAUUGAAGACCACCAGUGGCGAAGGCGGCUUGCUAGAACGCGCUCGACGGUGAGGGAUGAAAGCUGGGGGAGCAAACCGG